rnacentral:rRNA from 1 species
GACGAACGCUGGCGGCGUGCCUAAUACAUGCAAGUAGAACGCUGAAGAGAGGAGCUUGCUCUUCUUGGAUGAGUUGCGAACGGGUGAGUAACGCGUAGGUAACCUGCCUUGUAGCGGGGGAUAACUAUUGGAAACGAUAGCUAAUACCGCAUAACAAUGGAUGACACAUGUCAUUUAUUUGAAAGGGGCAAUUGCUCCACUACAAGAUGGACCUGCGUUGUAUUAGCUAGUAGGUGAGGUAAUGGCUCACCUAGGCGACGAUACAUAGCCGACCUGAGAGGGUGAUCGGCCACACUGGGACUGAGACACGGCCCAGACUCCUACGGGAGGCAGCAGUAGGGAAUCUUCGGCUAUGGGGGCAACCCUGACCGAGCAACGCCGCGUGAGUGAAGAAGGUUUUCGGAUCGUAAAGCUCUGUUGUAAGUCAAGAACGGGUGUGAGAGUGGAAAGUUCACACUGUGACGGUAGCUUACCAGAAAGGGACGGCUAACUACGUG